GGGGGUGUAGCUCAGUGGUUGAGUUCUUGCCUCACAGGCAAGAGGCCCUAGGAUAACAAAACAAAAAGGAACCCCCA
rnacentral:tRNA from 1 species